AGAGAUGUGUGAUGAUGCAUAUCAAUAAGCGGAGGAAAAGAAACUAACAAGGAUUCCCUUAGUAACGGCGAGUGAAGCGGGAAGAGCUCAAAUUUGAAAUCUUCAAGGUUCUACCUUGACGAAUUGUAGUUUAUAGAAGUGUUUUCUGUUAGUAGAGUGGCAAAAGUUCUUUGGAAUAGGACAUCAUAGAGGGUGAGAAUCCCGUAUUUGGUCAUUCCUUCUAGCUUUGUGAUACACUUUCAACGAGUCGGAUUGUUUGGGAAUGCAGUCCAAAAUGGGUGGUAAAUUUCAUCUAAAGCUAAAUAUUGGCGAGAGACCGAUAGCGAACAAGUACCGUGAGGGAAAGAUGAAAAGAACUUUGAAAAGAGAGUUAAACAGUACGUGAAAUUGUCAAAAGGGAAGCGUUUGACACCAGUGUUGUUUUUCCGAAAAUCAAUUACGAAUGUUUUAGUUUUUAAGAAGUUAUGACUUCAUCGGCUUGCUUCUCUCUUUAUGAAACUUUCUUAAUGCACUUUUCGGUUAACAAGUCAACAUCAAUUUCUUUUGUUGUAAAAGGGUAUGAGGAAGGUGGCUUUCUUUUCGGAGAAAGUGUUUAUAGCCUUGUAGCCUCUGCAAUCGGAGAGAUUGAGGUCUGCAGCGUAGAUCCUUCGGGGUUAGAUACAUUUGUGCUAAGUUAUAGCUUUUCAUAGACAACUUGUUGACUAUGUUAGUCUUGUAGCUUACUCGCUUAUGCUAUUUUACCUACGCUUAGGAUGUUGAAGUCAUCGUAUCGCGC
rnacentral:rRNA from 1 species